CUUCACCGAACCCAGCCACAGCGGCUGCUCUUCGCUGUGGUUGCGCCCGUAGGUGGCGAGCAGCGCCUGUGCCUC
rnacentral:antisense_RNA from 1 species